rnacentral:rRNA from 1 species
ACAGAGGGUGCAAGCGUUGUCCGGAUUGACUGGGUGUAAAGGGCGUGUAGGCGGCCGAGUAAGUCUGACGUGAAAACAUCACCGCUCAACGGGAUGUACGCGUUGGAAACUGUUCGGCUUGAGUACAGGAGAGGUUAACGGAAUUCCAGGUGUAGCGGUGGAAUGUGUAGAUAUCUGGAGGAACACCGGUGGCGAAAGCGGUUAACUGGCCUGUGACUGACGCUGAGGCGCGAAAGCCAGGGGAGCAAACGG